AGUGAACGCUGGCGGUAGGCCUAACACAUGCAAGUCGAACGGCAGCACAGUAAGAGCUUGCUCUUACGGGUGGCGAGUGGCGGACGGGUGAGGAAUACAUCGGAAUCUACUUUUUCGUGGGGGAUAACGUAGGGAAACUUACGCUAAUACCGCAUACGACCUACGGGUGAAAGCAGGAGAUCUUCGGACCUUGCGCGAUUGAAUGAGCCGAUGUCGGAUUAGCUAGUUGGCGGGGUAAAGGCCCACCAAGGCGACGAUCCGUAGCUGGUCUGAGAGGAUGAUCAGCCACACUGGAACUGAGACACGGUCCAGACUCCUACGGGAGGCAGCAGUGGGGAAUAUUGGGCAAUGGGCGCAAGCCUGAUCCAGCCAUACCGCGUGGGUGAAGAAGGCCUUCGGGUUGUAAAGCCCUUUUGUUGGGAAAGAAAAGCAGCAGGUUAAUACCCCGCUGUUCUGACGGUACCCAAAGAAUAAGCACCGGCUAACUUCGUG
rnacentral:rRNA from 1 species